UAAGCAGCCCCUUCCUGAAAAAAAAACACACACACGCGCACACACACACACACACACACACACACACACACACACACACACACACACAAAAACAGAGCUCUGCCCCCCAAUAACCCGUAGUUUGUGAAGACUCGCAGGCUGAACACUGUCACAAGGCCCAGAUUUCUACAAUCUACCCUUUGUGUGUCUCUGCCUUACUCGGAGGGGUAGAGAAGGAGGGCCAGUGACUACAGUCGAUGGUCAGCUUGGUCUUACUCCUGUCUGGCAGAUGGGUGAGCCUGCUUCUGUCUGCCAAAUGGAACAGAGGCCUGGUUUAUAUAUGUGAGGAAACACAAGCUGCAUUCUUCACAUUCUUGCCUGCACACCAUAUAUACAUCCGAGGGAUUAAAAGUGACAACCACUGAAGGCUGUGAACCAGAAAGAAGGAUCUGAGCAGAUCUGGGUGUUUGCAUUUGUGCCUGCGAGUGGAUGCUGAAAUUUGCUUUGAGAAUUCAUUAAAAUAAAAGGAGCAGAAAAGCUUUGUGAAAAGUGACUGCCAAGUCCUUUUUCCCACCCACACAUGCCAGGGUUCUACACACAUAUUCCAAUACUUAUUAUCAUGGUAUUCCCAAAUGGCACUCCAAAAUAGCAUUGGCCUCUUUGAACAGAAUAAUGCCAAACUGCAAAAACUGGUCAGAAAAUAGUUCAAGGUGUGGAUUAAGCCUCCAAAAGGAUCUGCUCCUAAAAGUGUUACCUUAUAUCACCGCACACCUUAAGAUGUCUUGUGAAAUCAAUGUCUUGAUGGGACAAAAAUCUGUUUUGGAAACACAAGGGGAUCUACACAUAUAUGAAUAAACGUUUACCAGUAAAGAACAUUUACAAUCCAACCAGUCUUAAGUGAAUUAAGUUAGCCCUUCUUGUUGAGGGUAAGCCAGGAAUUUAGUUUUUUGCCCCAGGUCAAACGAUCAUCCUUUUCCUUCUAAGCAUGAG